UACAGAGGUCCCAAGCGUUGUUCGGAUUCACUGGGCGUAAAGGGUGCGUAGGCGGUCGGGCAAGUCGGGUGUGAAAGCCCAGGGCUCAACCCUGGAAGUGCAUUCGAUACUGCCUGGCUAGAGUCCCGGAGAGGAUGGUGGAACUCUCGGUGUAGAGGUGAAAUUCGUAGAUAUCGAGAAGAACACCGGUGGCGAAGGCGGCCAUCUGGACGGUGACUGACGCUGAGACGCGAAAGCGUGGGGAGCAAACAGG
rnacentral:rRNA from 1 species